CCAGACUCCUACGGGAGGCAGCAGUGAGGAAUAUUGGUCAAUGGGCGGGAGCCUGAACCAGCCAAGCCGCGUGAAGGAAGGAGGCGCCAAGCGUCGUAAACCUCUUUUGUCGGGGAACAAAGGGCGCCACGUGUGGCGUUGUGAGUGUACCCGAAGAAAAAGCAUCGGCUAACUCCGUGCCAGCAGCCGCGGUAAUACGUAGGUGGCAAGCGUUAUCCGGAUUUAUUGGGUGUAAAGGGCGUGUAGGCGGGAGCGCAAGUCAGAUGUGAAAACUCAGGGCUCAACCCUGAGCCUGCAUUUGAAACUGUGUUUCUUGAGUGCUGGAGAGGCAAUCGGAAUUCCGUGUGUAGCGGUGAAAUGCGUAGAUAUACGGAGGAACACCAGUGGCGAAGGCGGAUUGCUGGACAGUAACUGACGCUGAGGCGCGAAAGCGUGGGGAGCAAACAGGAUUAGAUACCCCAGUAAA
rnacentral:rRNA from 1 species